rnacentral:rRNA from 1 species
CACGUACUGUGCGAACGUUAUUCGGAAUCACUGGGCUUAAAGGGUGCGUAGGCGGCAAUUCAAGUCAGGUGUGAAAUGCCUGAGCUCAACUGAGGCAUUGCGCUUGAAACUGAACUGCUUGAGUAUCCCAGGGGUGUGCGGAACUGCCAGUGGAGCGGUGAAAUGCGCAGAUAUCAGGAGGAACACCGGUGGCGAAGGCGGUUCUCUGGGCAUUACCUGACGCUGAGGAGCGAAAGUGUGGGGAGCGAACAGG